UUUAUGCCAUUUAUAAUUAAAUUUGGUCAAAAAAAAAUUGAGAUUUUAUGCUCUUGCUCUUGAGAUCUUAUGCUUUUACUUUAAAUUGUCUUUGAUUUUGGAGAGAAAGAAACAAAAAAAACUUGAAUGAUCGAUUACUUUUUUUUGAUUCUCUUAAAAUUGGGUGGGCAAAAAACAUCAGAUUGAUUCUUUCUAAUUUGAUUCACUUUCUUUCUCGACAAUAAAAUUUCAGAUCUAGUUUAGUUUUUAUUUUAUUCUCUGCUUUGAAAUCCAUGUUUGGGGUUUAGAAAUCUAGGUCAUAUGAUUUGUGUGUUUUUAUCGCUUGUGAAACGGAGCUUUGAGAUUUUCGAUUUUUGAUUUUGAAAUUAGGCUAAGGAGAGGAAGAAAGAGAUUAUCAAGCUUCAGGAAGAUCUCAAGGAUGCUGAAAGUGCUUUUCAUCGUGAUUUAUUCCCAGCGAAUGCUUCUUGCAAGUGUUAUUUCUUUGAAGGUAACUUGGGAGUAUUCAGCGGUAUGAGGAUUGGAGAAGCUUCUGAAGCCAGAUUUAAUGAUGGUCUUCGUCGUAGAUUUCUCAGACUAGCGAGGAUAAGGAGGAGAAAGAAAUCAACUCAAUAAUCUAAAAGAUUGCGGUCCUCAGGUUAUAGUCAGAAUGAAGCCUCCAAGCAAAGGUGAGGAAGAGGAGAUGAUAGUUAAAAAGCUCUCCAACGAUGCCUCACACUAUCAAUGAACAGACUUUCACAUUCGACUCGAUUGCUGUCCCGGAGUCAACUCA